UACGGGGAGCAUAUCUCAAUUGGUAGAGCACAAGACUCUUAAAUCUCAGGGUUGUGGGUUCGAGACCCACAUCGGGCAAAA